UACAGGGGGGGCAAGCGUUGUUCGGAAUUACUGGGCGUAAAGGGCUCGUAGGUGGCCAACUAAGUCAGACGUGAAAUCCCUCAGCUUAACUGGGGAACUGCGUCUGAUACCGGAUGGCUUGAGUUUGGGAGAGGGAAGCGGAAUUCCCGGUGUAGUGGUGAAAUGCGUAGAUAUCGGGAGGAACACCAGUGGCGAAGGCGGCUUCCUGGCCUGUUCUUGACGCUGAGGCGCGAAAGCUAGGGGAGCAAACGGG
rnacentral:rRNA from 1 species